rnacentral:rRNA from 1 species
GUGGGGAAUAUUGGACAAUGGGCGCAAGCCUGAUCCAGCCAUGCCGCGUGAGUGAAGAAGGCCUUAGGGUUGUAAAGCUCUUUCAGCGGGGACGAUGAUGACGGUACCCGCAGAAGAAGCCCCGGCUAACUCCGUGCCAGCAGCCGCGGUAAUACGGAGGGGGCUAGCGUUGCUCGGAAUUACUGGGCGUAAAGGGCGCGUAGGCGGCUUAGUAAGUCAGGCGUGAAAGGCCCGGGCUCAACCCGGGAAUUGCGUUUGGGACUGCUAGGCUUGAGUUCGGGAGAGGGUAGUGGAAUUCCCAGUGUAGAGGUGAAAUUCGUAGAUAUUGGGAAGAACACCAGUGGCGAAGGCGGCUACCUGGACCGAUACUGACGCUAAGGCGCGAAAGCGUGGGGAGCAAACAGGAUUAGAUACCCGAGUAGUCC